rnacentral:rRNA from 1 species
AGUGGAUGGGGAGCAACCUAGUUGUGCGUGUGUAAAGGUAGUGCCAAGAAAAGCGAUGAUCAUGUUGAAAAUCAAUUCCCGGUACCCGAAACCGACACAGGUGGGCAAGUAGAGAAUACUAAGGGGCGCGAGGUAACUCUCUCCAAGGAACUCGGCAAAAUGACCCCGUAACUUAGGGAGAAGGGGUGCCACCGAGAGGUGGUCGCAGUGAAGAGGCCCAGGCGACUGUUUAGCAAAAACAUAGGUCUCUGCAAACUCGAAAGAGGAGGUAUAGGGGCUGACGCCUGCCCAGUGCCGGAAGGUUAAAGAAGUUGGUCAGUUUUAGGAUGAAGCUAGCGACUGAAGCCCCGGUGAACGGCGGCCGUAACUAUAACGGUCCUAAGGUAGCGAAAUUCCUUGUCGGGUAAGUUCUGACCCGCACGAAAGGCGUAACGAUCUGGGCGCUGUCUCGGAGAGAGGCUCGGCGAAAUAGGAUUGUCUGUGAAGAUACGGACUACCUGCAUUUGGACAGAAAGACCCUAUGAAGCUUUACUAUAGCUUGGAAUUGUGUUCGGGCUUCCUGUGCGCAGGAUAGGUGGGAGGCGUAGAAGGUAUUCUUGUGGGGAUACUGGAGCCAACGGUGAGAUACCACUCUCAGGAGGCUAGAAUUCUAACUUAAUUAAGGACAGUUUCAGGUGGGUAGUUUGACUGGGCGGUCGCCUCCAAAAAGGUAACGGAGGCGUACAAAGGUUCCCUCAGACUGGUUGGAAAUCAGUCGAAGAGUGCAAAGGCGGAAGGGAGCUUGACUGCGAGAAGUACAGUUCGAGCAGGGUGGAAACACGGUCUUAGUGAUCCGACGGUGCUGUGUGGAAGGGCCGUCGCUCAACGGAUAAAAGUUACUCUAAGGAUAACAGGCUGAUCUCCCCCAAGAGUUCACAUCGACGGGGAGGUUUGGCACCUCGAUGUCGGCUCAUCGCAACCUGGGGCGGAAGUACGUCCCAAGGGUUGGGCUGUUCGCCCAUUAAAGCGGUACGUGAGCUGGGUUCAGAACGUCGUGAGACAGUUCGGUCCAUAUCCGAUGUAGGCGUGAGAAUAUUGAGAGGAGCCUUCCUUAGUACGAGAGGACCGGGAAGGACGCACCGCUGGUGUACCUGUUAUGAUGCCAAUUGUAAACGCAGGGUAGCCAAGUGCGGAGAGGAUAACCGCUGAAAGCAUCUAAGUGGGAAGCCCACCUCAAGAUGAGUAUUCUGGUGUAAGGUCACGGGAAGACGACCCGUAAAUAGGCACGAGGUGGAAGUGCAGAGAUGUAUGAAGCCGAAGUGUACUAAUAGACCGUCGGCUUGAUC